AAUAGAUACCCAGGUAGUCCUGGCCCUAAACGAUGUCCACUAGAUCGUGGCGGCUCUGACGUCGUCACGGUCGAAGCAAAAGUGCUAAGUGGACCGCCUGGGAAGUACGGUCGCAAGGCUAAAACUCAAAGGAAUUGACGGGGGGCUCACACAAGCGGUGGAGCAUGUGGUUCAAUUCGAAGCAACGCGCAGAACCUUACCUGGGCUUGACAUGCUAGGAUUAUCUCUAUGAAAGUAGAGUAGGCCCUUCGGGGUACAACUAGUACAGGUGCUGCAUGGCUGUCGUCAGCUCGUGUCGUGAGAUGUCGGGUUAAGUCCCUUAACGAGCGAAACCUUUGCCCUUAGUUACCAGCGGGUUAUGCCGGGGACUCUAAGGGGACUGCCGGUGUCAAACCGGAGGAAGGUGGAGAUGACGGUCAAGUCCUCAUGGCCUUUAUGCCCCAGGGCCCACGACACGUGCUACAAUGCGGCGCACAGAGCGAACCGAGAGCGCAAGCUGGAGGAAAUCGCACAAAUCGCCGCCCAGUU
rnacentral:rRNA from 1 species